rnacentral:rRNA from 1 species
UACGUAGGGUGCAAGCGUUAAUCGGAAUUACUGGGCGUAAAGCGUGCGCAGGCGGUUCCGCAAGUCAGAUGUGAAAUCCCCGGGCUUAACCUGGGAACUGCAUUUGAAACUAUGGAGCUAGAGUGUGUCAGAGGGGGGUAGAAUUCCACGCGUAGCAGUGAAAUGCGUAGAGAUGUGGAGGAAUACCGAUGGCGAAGGCAGCCCCCUGGGAUAACACUGACGCUCAUGCACGAAAGCGUGGGGAGCAAACAGG